GUGUGGCGCAGAUUCAGAAAUCGCAGAGAGGCGCCGGUUUUGAACUCUUAAUCAGCGGGUCCCAGGUUCGAGCCCUGGUGCGCCCACCA
rnacentral:tRNA from 1 species